rnacentral:tRNA from 10 species
GGGGAUUAGCUCAGCUGGGAGAGCACCUGCUUUGCAAGCAGGGGGUCGUCGGUUCGAUCCCGUCAUCCUC